UGAGAGGCAAAGAGGUUAAGAAACUUGUCUAAAGUUACUGGUAACUGGUGGAACUGGGAUUUGAGUCAAGGCGAUCUGAUCCAGAACUGGAACACCUGACCACUGAGCUCUACUAAAAUUGAUCAUUAUUUUGGCCAAAGAAUUUGGUGACAUUGCUCCGAUCUAAAGAACUCUCAGUUUUGACUUAUUGAAUGAAACUCCUGAAAGGAUAAUUUCAUGUACGUAUCACUGUCCUCUUAUCAAAGCAAAAUUCCACAUCAGUUUGUCUAGUCUUCUUACGGCCUAGUCAAUAUUUUUCUAUUUUAUUUAGAAGAACCUGUAAUCUAGUUCCUACACUCCCUUCUUUGCAUAUUUUUUAGAAUGCAUCUUGCUUGCAGAGAGAGCAAACCACACCAGUCAUGAAACCAUGGUGCUGUGUGCACAGUUGGGCCAGGAACGAAAACAACUACACCAUAGUAACAAUCCGUCAUUCUGUCCAUCUGCUGCCCUGGAGGGAUCUUAAAAUAGUUUCAAUUCACCUUUAAAAUCUGCUGCUCUAUGAAGGGCUUCUAACACUUGGCGGCCCUGGAAGCCUGCCUGAGAAGCAGGGCCGCUGUUCGGACUACUGGUGUCCAGCUGUAAGACUCUUCGGAGGGAAACAAGCCAUCCAUUCAUUGGGCCGUUGUGAAAUUUUCCUUCCCCACCAGUGCUCCCAGCCAAGGAGGAGAAUUCCUGGAGGAAUGGCAUUCUGGAUUUUUGUUCUUCCUAAUGUGGGAUUGAUGUUUUAUUUUUUUAAUUGAUUCCUUUUUUUUUUUUUUUUCCUGUUUAAUCUCCUUCUGCUCCCACUCUGAACCCUAUAACUUUCUUCUUCUUCUAGCUUUUCUUUCUUCAGCUCUACAACGGGGGGACUGGGCAUGAGUUGAUGUUUAUAAUCUAGAACUUUUCAAUUGGUUAGUGAGAUGAUCAUUUAUGAUUUAUCACCCAAACCAGGACACUUCUGAGAAGGAAAGAAGUGCUAUUAAUAAUUAGGGUAGAAGUAAGAGGAGUAAGCUGGGACCUUCUUGGGCAAGCCCAGACAUGUGGUCACCCCUGGUUUUGCUCCGGCUCCAUUGCACAACACAGGAAGAGCGUUUAAAUGCUCACCAUGCAGGGGCUAAAGAUAACAGUAUCACUCUUGGCUCUUGGCUCCAGUUCCCUUGUAUUCUAGAUCUUGAACAGAGCAUGGUCAAUCGGGAUUCAAACAGGACAGGUUGUUCUCUUUUUUGCUGACUGCGUCUUUAGUCUAUACUGAUUCUUUUUUGUUGUAGUUCCGUGUUUUUCCAAAAGGUCACAUUCUCAACAUCCAAGAGUUUAGUCUAUCAGCUCUCUAAUUUGAAUUGGAAGGUUACAUUGUAAAAUUUCAAUCUCAUGCAGAUUUUUUUUUCCAUUUUAAAUCCCAUUUAGGCUGUGAAACUUAGCGUGAAAUGAACUGACGGUUAUACUCCUUAAGUAUUCUUUGAGAUUGAUGCUAUCAGAUCAAGAAUAUCUUACAUGUGUAAAGAGUUUUGUAUAAUUGCAUAUAUUCUCAUUUGAUACCCACACCAAAGCCGGGAAGUAGGUGGCAGAGAUUAAUCUCUUUUUGAACCCAGAACAUACCACUCUGAGAUGGAAUCAAAUUAUGGCAGGUAGGAACAAAGGUGGCAUGAAAAUCAACAUCAUCAGAGUCUAACGUCCAAUCUUUUCAUACUUCUGGUUGAGGUAUAACAUCAUUUUAAAGCUACCAUUUGCUCUUGUUUUGUUUAUUGCUCGUGAGUAAUGGUUAACACAAUGAGCAGCAAACAGUUUUGACUGUAACCAAUAGUCACCCUCCCCCAUAUCCCUGCCAGCGGAGCCCGCCUCCAGCUUUCCCAGCUGGCUUUGCAGCCACGGGCAUCUAAUUAAUGGGCAUCUGAUUAAAUCUUUGUGAAUUAAACCCGAAAGGAAGUCUUCCCUAGAAUUUCUGGAAAAAGUCUUCCUCUCUGAUAAGAACAGCCAUGCAAGGGAAAAUCAGUGCCUCUUCCCUCUGGAUACAAACUGAGUGGCUGCAGGCCUUCUGAAACCAUGAAAGGACAUGCCUGAGGAUAAAUGCCAGCACACUGGAGGUAGCAGACAAAAAGAUGGAGAUCACCCAGGUUGUUUUCCACCUCAUGAAGCCACUAAACCAAUGUUGGAACCACCUGCCAUCUUGUUAUGUGAAAAAAUUGUUUUUGUGUUGUUUUUUAAGCCACAUUCAGCACACUGUUACUUGAAGUUAAGAGCAUCCUUAAUGAUUCACCAUUUAAAUGGUAUCAUCAUAGUUCACUAUUAGACUUUGUUGUAGGAAAUAUGUUCUUACAGGCCUUUCACUCUCUUGAAAUUAAAUAUCUAGAUAAUAAAACCUAUCUAUUCAUAUAAUCUUUAAAAAUCAAUAGAAUGCCCUUACUGUAAUCUAAAGGAGAAAUGUUAAAAACAACUUUAAAGAAGAAUAUGCGUUCAAAUGUGUAAAUGCCUACCCACAGCUACUCUCGAAGACAAGAUAAAAUAGAGCUUGCAGGUCUAUGUUGAAUCGCUAUGAAUGCAAUAGCUCUCUCAUGCAGCCUCCUGCAGGCGUGCUGUGCUGGUGACUCAAUCCCGUCAGAGGUGUAGACAUUGGUAUUAUGAUUUUUCAAAGGGUGAACAACUCUUGGUAAAGUUCCAAAUCAAACAGUGUACAAUCUUCCAUUAACUUAAGUGGUACCUGCGUUCUCAGAAAAUUGAGUGUAUGCUCAAACCAUGCAGAAAAUGACUUUGUGAUGAUAUGUAACACAGAGCUAGGAUCUAGGAUCACAGGGUUAUAAACACAUUUUCAACUACAUGAAUAUCUGAUGGCACAUUUGGAGGUCACGUGGGACUUUGGACAAUUCUUUGCUGUGUAGAAUUUGCCCGCACAUUGCAAAAUGUCUGGGGUCUCACCCAAUAAACACUGAUGGUGAUUCCUAAUUAGUGUGACAACCAAAACGUGCCCCCAGAAGUUUUCAGAGCAUCCCCUGGGGCAGUCUUACAACCCUCCCCUUCACCACAGAGGACAGUGUACUGAGGCCAAACUGGUCUGGGGCAAGCGCCCUGGGUCAGUCACUCUGUGUGAGUGUCAGGAGCACCCUGCAUUCCCCACUCUGAAGGUUGUGGGGAUGCUCUCAUUUCUUUGGAGGCAGGUGUGGCUAGGUAGAGAGAAAGCAGAGAAGCUAAUGAUGGGUGGCUCAGAACAAGUGCUCUUGCUGAAUCCUUUAGGGUCAAUGAUUCACCCUUUCUCAAUAUGUGUGCAUUUUUUUCACUGACCAUUUAUUGGGCCCCUACUAUAUGCAAGGAACCGUGGUUACUACCGAUAGAUACUGGGCUGACCAAUAUUUCCUUUCUGCCCUCUGGGAGGUAGAAAUCUAAAGCAGAAAAGGAGAAAAGUAUCCAACUAAGAUGGAGCAGAGGCUCUUAGCCUGGGGUCCCAGGCACGCAUUUCAAGGGAUCCUUUAAUCUCCUGAAAUUGAAAGCAAGAUUACAAUAUUUCCCUUUGUGUGUGAGCGUUUCUUUUUCUGGGUAGAGGGUGUAUUGAUUUAAUCACAUUCUCAUACGACUCCAGGAUACUAUAAAGACUACAGAUUAUGCACAGGGCAGGCCUGAUAAGUAGAUGGUACCUUAUUUGAUAGGGUUUCACAAGUUCCCUCCGCUCUAAAUCUCUCUCUUACUCAAAUACUUCUCUCGCUGAAAUGCUACAAGUAGAUUCAUUUAUAGCAAAUGCAUAGUUAGCAUGCAUCUCUGUGGCCAUCAUCUUUCCAACAAUCUUCAGGAAAUGUUUAUUGAGCUUCUCCUGUGCGCCAGGCACUGAAUCGAGGAGUAGGUUUCCACUGGUGAAUGGAAGGGGGCUCUCAGUCCGUGGAGGGGGUGAAGCGCAAAAGGGAUGCUGGGAGAGUGGAUGCAGGAUCUUUCGAGAACACAGCAGGGUAACCUAACCUACAAUGGGACAGCAGAGCUGUCAGGAGGAGACAACAAGCCCUCCUGGGCUGCUAACCCCCUGCACUCGUGUGGAUGUGUGUAUCAGCCAGCUGGCCAACAUGAACAGAGGGUCCUGGUGAGUGAGGACACUGCCUUAGGCCUAGGGACAUGGGGAGGCAGGGUGGUGGACAGCCUCCACGAGCAUCAGGCCUCAGCAGUCUCACACUAUGGCUUGGGUCAGCCACUGAGUGAACAGAUUGGGCCCUCUACGAUGACUCUGAUAACAUGACCUGCAUUUUGGUGCAUAUUUAAAAUUUCAACUUACUUGGGCUAUGGCUAUUUGUUGCAAGAGUGUGUUUGGAAAACGGACUAUCCGGGAUUGGAGAAUGAGGGGGAGAGUGGUUUAUAACUGGGAAACUAUGUGCUGACUAUCACCAUGUUGAAAAGCAGUGUGGUUUCUAGGGGGUUCAUUCUGGAACUAGGACAUUUCGGUUUCCCCCUGCAAGACGGCCUUCAGCAAAAAAGAAAACAUACCUUGGCCACGAAAACGCAAAAACACUCUCUCUCUGUAGCUCCAAGCAGCUCUCUCCUCUGAGAGUUAACUUGUCCUAAGGCCAUCUUGUCUUUGGAAGCCCCAAAGCAGCAAAACACAGAUCUUCUUAUGCCUUCCCCUCCUUUACUAAAAAGGAACAGGAAUAAUUGCCAAUUCAGUAGGCUUCUUGCUCUUUUGUGCAUUUUAAAGGCAUUUGCUGUUUGGGAUUUGGAAGAAAAUCAUGAGAAAUGAGAAUCUCUCGCUGCCUUGGCUGGAAGCAGGCUCAUUGUUUGCAGAGAGAGCUGGUUUCCAUGGUUUUGGACUAUAGACAGCUGCAUUUUUUUUCAAGAGUAGUUUCUACUUGCAAUUGGAUCUAAUAAAUAGCCAAGGUAUUCAGCCUUCCAACAGCGAAAGGUCUUAAAGUUAUUUGAAAACACCCUACGAUGUUAUCAUUCACGACCCACUGUACACGGUUUUUAGUUAUUAAAAGUCACGCAUUUCUCUCUGGAUAGGCCCUGUUUGGCCCAAAUUUCUCCUUUAUAGAGGGCAGCCAAUCAUGUUUUGGGCUCCGAAUCCUUGUCUUGAAAGUAAACACAUUCCUCUCCUCCAAAUGACAGGAGACUCAGGGGAUAGCCUGAGAGAGCAGAGCAGGCCAGGAACAUGCAAUAUUGAGGCCUGAGCAAUAGCCAUGGGAGCGGCUCCUUGAGCUGCGACCAUCAUAGCUGUAAGGAGGUCACACGGCUUCCCCUCCCCCCGCCAGCCCUGGAGCAGGGCCCACCUUCACAGGAACCAUAUGGCGCGCUGUCAACAGAACAACAUGUGGAAACUGCCUAUUUUACCUUCUGUCGCUGAAACAGGACACAUGACAAACUUUUGCUUCUUUUUUUUCAGGACAUCGAGAGAAGAAGAAAUUGGCUAAAAUGAAAAAACAUUUUUUUGUCUUCUUGGGACAGUGGCUUGGAAUGAAGGAGGAUCAGGCAAUGAAUUUAAUUUCCACGGUGAGUGGCAGCAGUAAAGCAGCAUAGAGUGUCCCCUUAUCCGCAGCAGGGGGCUCAGCUCAGGGGACUGAGCCUGGAGCCAGGUCUCAACACCUGUCAACAACGCAUGUCGUCCUUGUGGCCCCUUAGCAAAAAUCUCUACUCUUUUUAAACAAGGGUGAACUAUAUGGCUACUAUUAAAACCACUAAUAUUGCCAUAAUUUUUUUUGUAGGAUGUCAUGGUCUUUUCUCCCUUUCCCGAAUGUAUGGCAGUUGCUCUGGGUCGUUUUUUGUCAUUUGACCCUUAUAUUGCUAUUUGAUUUUUCUUCUCUUUAGAUCUUGCUUUCCCAACUGGAUUCUUAGUUCUUUGGGAGCUGAGACCAUAGGAUCUUUUAAUUUUCCUAUAUAUGCUGUUUCCCCACCUAGAAUGGAUUUCUGCGUCUCACAUGGGAAACCACCUGGGCCUGGGUUGUACUGACCUUCCAAUGACAUUUUAGUCAAAUAGAACUAGAGAUAAUCCUUUUCAUGUUCCCAUCUCUUCUCUAAGCAUCAUGGUUGCUGAGGGAUAGAAGUUUGUUGAGGGCCACUUAAACACAGAUUUACCGCCAGAUGUGUAAAAUGUAGAACAGGAUCCACUCGAUAGAUUAGGUAAAAUUACAGUGGAGUUUGGGAAGUUAGUUAAAGGAAAGGAUUAUACUUUAAUCUGUGAUGUAAGCAUUGCAACAUCUUACUUUUUGGAGCCACUGCCCAUCCCCUUGGCAAGAACAAGAUUUCUCUCCAAUGAGGCUUGAAUUUUCUUACUCUCGAUUGAAUAAACAUUUGGCUGAGGAACCAUUAUUUCUCUUCCUUGGGGACCAAUCUGAGAAUAAUAAUAAUAAUAAACAUUUCCUUUCAAGUAACACUGCACCAAAUCUUUCAGGGCCAGGCAGAUGUGGUCAGGGAAGUUCGACUCACACUCCGAGGAGUAUUCCUCCAUGGAAGGAGAAACUCAAGAAUGUGUCCUCCCGGGGGAGUGCCCCAGAGACCCCAGACCCGAGCCCAACUUCACCCUCGCCCGCAACCUUUGAACCUGGUUCACAAAUGGGGACCAACAUCAGGAAAAUUGCCCCUAACUCAACUCAGUCUUAUAAAAUCUUACCAAGUUACUUCCUCAAGUGCACUUUCAGUGACGCUAGUUCAGUAAUUUACCUCACCUCUUGAGCCUGGGUACGCACGUGUGUAAAAUGAAGAUGAUGUCUUCCCCUCGGACCUGCUGUGAGGACUCAACUAGAUAGCUUCAACACAAAGAAGCAGGAACCCAGGGAGAAGAGGCCGGGAGAAGACAAGGCUCUCCAGAAAACACAAGAAUCUACCAGCGAGUCUUGAAGUUCCACGGGCUAUAGAACUGGAAUCGAUGGUGGUGCUGGAGCCCACGUUGCCUGGCAUUUCAAGGGACAGGGGACUCUUGAAAGCAUCUGGUUACACCAUGGCUGAAAGCCAAGUUUUCCGUGAGGUCCCGAAGUCCUAGACAAACAUUUCUUUUAUUUAGUGUGUUUGAAUUUUAAGCUUUAGGCCUUUAGAGAAAGAAUCAAGCUGACAUCCCAUUAAUAUUACUAUAAUCCCCAUUGUAGCGUAUUGUACUACUGCUAGGAACCUUUUCAAAUCUUUAGUUUUCUUUGAUCUUUACCAAAGACUUGUCAGAGAGAAAGGGCUGGUAUUAGUUUUACAUUCCUAUGGGGAAACUGAGGCACAAAGAGAUGAACAAUAAAGCCGUAGUUUAGAGCACAGCUCUGCUGGCAGCCAGUCUGGGGAGCUUUCCCGAAGGUUAUCCUGGGCAGAGCCGUUGUUCCUAGCGCAGGAUUUUCCUCUCAAAUGAGGUUGCUACAGAAUUCAACUCAAAGUCUGAGCCAAUCAACACUGAGAACAGCAUUUCAGAAUAUCCCGGUGAGGAGGUUAAAUCAUUUCGUCCUUAACCGAACAUCUGACUCUCAAAUCCAGAGCUUUAGCUUUUUCCUUUAAAAUCCGCAUGUCACUCAUUGGCAGGAGGGAGGUGGGGAGAAGGGGGAUCAUACUUAACUCUCUUUACGUUUUACAGCCACAUGUUACACCCCGACAUAAAUCUUCUAACUAAAAAAGCUCUACAGAAAAUAAGAACCAGUCACGGCCAAAUCCUCUAUUUUUUGGCAACAAUUGCUCCAUCUGUCUUGAGGGUCGA